UAUCAUAUCACCAUCAAAUAAAAGUCAAAACGACUAUAGUCACAGUCUCAAACAUCUAAAUUAAGUCCAAGUAAUAAUCAACAUAUUACGAAACAAAUCUCAUAAACUUAGGAACAAAUAAUCUAUGGAAGCAUCCAUAAAUAUCAUGACAAAUACCAAUAAAAGUCUACCACAUUGCCUUAUUCCCAAGACACAAACAAAUAACAAUAACACCUACAAAAAAAUAGAAACGGACUUGCUUGAAUCACCCUUUGGAAACCACACCGCUCACAUUGGCUCACUACUAAUCUGCAAUGGUUUAAGAAGAGAAUGAGUAAGCUUAACAAGGCCAAUGAAUGCUUAGAACAACUACCAUGCAAACAAUUCAUAAGGUAUCAACAAAACAACCAUAUAGCACAAUCCUAACAGUUCCAAUUCCAGUGUCAUAUUAUACUUACUCGUGCAUUAUUUACUAGUUCAUUAACAUGGUAAUCAUAUUCACUUUUAAGCAUAUAUCACAAUACUCAUAUAAUCACAUAUAUCAUAAUACUCAAAAACAAGUUUAUAGAUAAAUUGCAUAAUGGUCACAUAUCAUAUAAAUAUAUAACACAAUAAAUACAUAUUCAUAAUUUAAGAUAAUUUGCCACUUGAGCUAUGAAACAUAAAAGUGAGGUCUACCAUCACUCAUCGAAUACACGGAUCUCUAACACACCAUAUAGACUCAUAGAGUCAAACAUAUCCAAAAGUGAAGAAUAAAGCUAACACUCUCUUUAUUUCCCCUCACAUGUCCUGUUUGAAUGGAGCUUAGUUCACAUUUCCCUAUCCCUCAAACAUGCCUUAGGGCCUCAACACCCAAAAGCACUGUACAUAUAGGUGAGUACUCACAGUCCUAUGGCAUGCCAACUAUAUCCAACGGUUUCAAGAUCACAAGGCCAAAAUAUUUGAAAUCAAACACAUAUCACCUACCGAUUAUCUGUGCACUAUCACUGCAUAUUCGCAUCUUUAGCAAAACAUUGUCACUAAAAUUUAACAUAUACAUACAUUAUACACAUUUGCACUUUCACAACGGUUAUCAUAACCACAUAUCACAUGUUAUAGCAUCUCAAUUCACAUAAUCACAAACACAUAAGCACGUAGUUCACAAGAUAACAUAGGUAUGAGAAAGCUUACACUCGGGAAUUUAAAGUAGGGGUUUAGGCUACUACUAAAUUCUCUAAUAACGUAUUGAAUAAUGUCCACAAGAAAUUAUUCCAAACACUCACAAAUUACGCUUUCGUCGAAAAGCUGAAAUCUCAAACUAGCUUUUCCUUGCCUUUAUCUCUACUCGUAGAAGGUCCAAUCAAAUUUGAAACAAUUCACACAACAAUGCAUUCAAUAAUCAACUAAGAACUCACCACAAGCAACCGAAAAUAUAAACUUAAACUAAGUUCUCAUGUAACUAAAACCUUUAACACAACCAACUUAAAAUUCAAAUAUCUCGAUCUAUACUUAAUAUUUUCACCUAAAAUCAGUUUCGUUCAUCUUGUAAUUCACCUAUGACUAAUUCCCAACCUUUAAACUACAAUAAAAUACUCAAUUCAUAGUAUCGACUUUUUCGACAUGUUUUAUGGCUAUUUUUCGAAAAUUCAUUAAAACUCAAAAAUUAUUUAAUGAAAUGUCAAAGUAAGUUUAGAAACCUUCUAAUCAUGUUAAAACAAGUUUAAAAACACUUUGAAACCAUGUAUUUAUGCAAAAUUCUAAAAUCCAUCAUUAACGAUCCAAUUUUCAGCUUUUAUUCAAAACAUGUAAUUUAAUAGCCAAAAACUUGGUUUUAAAGACUAAAUAACAUUUAAAACUAAUAGGAAGAUGAAUUGUUACCUUAGUUGACGAAAACCUGAGCGUUUGAUCGAAAACCUAAAAAACUCGAAAGCUUGGCAAUGGAGAAAACUAUGGUGAUUUUGGGUGUUUUUCUUUGUAUUUAAUAGAGGUUUAAAGCAUGAAUGCCGAUGGAAAUCAAGAGAUUAUAGUUUAGAAAUAAAAAAUCGAUUAAGAGAGUCUUGGGAGAAUGUCGGACGACAAAAAAAC
rnacentral:lncRNA from 1 species